GAUGAACGCUGGCGGCGUGCCUAAUACAUGCAAGUCGAGCGAACGGACGAGAAGCUUGCUUUUCUGAUGUUAGCGGCGGACGGGUGAGUAACACGUGGAUAACCUACCUAUAAGACUGGGAUAACUUCGGGAAACCGGAGCUAAUACCGGAUAAUAUUUUGAACCGCAUGGUUCAAAAGUGAAAGACGGUCUUGCUGUCACUUAUAGAUGGAUCCGCGCUGCAUUAGCUAGUUGGUAAGGUAACGGCUUACCAAGGCAACGAUGCAUAGCCGACCUGAGAGGGUGAUCGGCCACACUGGAACUGAGACACGGUCCAGACUCUUACGGGAGGCAGCAGUAGGGAAUCUUCCGCAAUGGGCGAAAGCCUGACGGAGCAACGCCGCGUGAGUGAUGAAGGUCUUCGGAUCGUAAAACUCUGUUAUUAGGGAAGAACAUAUGUGUAAGUAACUGUGCACAUCUUGACGGUACCUAAUCAGAAAGCCACGGCUAACUACGUG
rnacentral:rRNA from 1 species